rnacentral:rRNA from 1 species
GAUGAACGCUGGCGGCGUGCCUAAUACAUGCAAGUCGAGCGAACGGACGGGAAGCUUGCUUCUCUGAUGUUAGCGGCGGACGGGUGAGUAACACGUGGAUAACCUACCUAUAAGACUGGGAUAACUUCGGGAAACCGUAGCUAAUACCGGAUAAUAUUUUGAACCGCAUGGUUCAAAAGUGAAAGACGGUCUUGCUGUCACUAUAGAUGGAUCCGCGCUGCAUUAGCUAGUUGGUAAGGUAACGGCUUACCAAGGCAACGAUGCAUAGCCGACCUGAGAGGGUGAUCGGCCACACUGGAACUGAGACACGGUCCAGACUCCUACGGGAGGCAGCAGUAGGGAAUCUUCCGCAAUGGGCGAAAGCCUGACGGAGCAACGCCGCGUGAGUGAUGAAGGUCUUCGGAUCGUAAAACUCUGUUAUUAGGGAAGAACAUAUGUGUAAGUAACUGUGCACAUCUUGACGGUACCUAAUCAGAAAGCCACGGCUAACUACGUG